UAAGACUUUUAAAGGGGAUGGAGAAACCAAUAUGGUGGCAUAGGUAAUCACCUAAACUGCUGUCUCGCACAACAAUUUCAAAACUACAACUAAAAGACAAAAUGGACAUCAUCCAGAACCACAGGAAGGCUGGCUGAGUAGAAAUUCUACAACUAGAAGGAAAGA